rnacentral:snoRNA from 1 species
GGCCCCUGGCAAUGGGCAAAGAGAUACCUGCUUGGUGGUGGUGGUCUUAUAUCAGUCAGGAGCAGAGUAGAUGGCAGCUCUUUGUUCAUCCUAGCUUGAUGCCUGGCUUGGUGGCAAAGUUGCUUAAUGCCUAGGACACAUAA